ensembl:lncRNA
AACCGGUUUACUGCAGGGUCGGAAUCGGGCUUACUGCCACAGCAGGCGUUUCACCCUGGCAACAAAAUCGGCCUGGCUCCAUUAUGUAAAUAACAAUGACGUGUCAGCACGAUGCAAAACCUGUGCAAACUUAUUUUGUUUGUGGGAAGAUGCACAUGAUGGUUACGUGGUGAUCGCAGAGGUUAAUACCCAGACAUUUAGGCACCCAAAGAGUGAAGGUGCCAUUGAGCCCAUUUCGGGCUGAGAGUUUUAGGAAGAAAGGGGGGCGUGCUAUCACCGUGGUUACGACCCACGGCAACCUGUCCGUUUUUUUUCCCCCGCCCCUCAAAGAAUCAGAAAUUCCAGAAUCUAAAUCGAUAAGCAUAAUCAGAAUCUGAAUCAGAAUUGUUAAAAUCCAAACGAUGGCCAACCCUAGUGACGGCUGGUUCAACCUGUGUGGCUUCAUUGCACCACAGGCAUGCAGCCUCACCC